rnacentral:rRNA from 1 species
GACAGAGGUCCCGAGCGUUAGGCGGAAUUACUGGGCGUAAAGGGCGCGUAGGCGGUCUCGUAAGUCCUGUGUGAAAUCCCCCGGCUCAACUGGGGAACUGCACAGGAAACUGCGGGACUUGAGUUCGGGAGAGGGAAGCGGAAUUCCGGGUGUAGCGGUGAAAUGCGUAGAUAUCCGGAGGAACACCGGUGGCGAAGGCGGCUUCCUGGACCGACACUGACGCUGAGGCGCGAAAGCUAGGGGAGCAAACGGG